CGCCAGCUACAGGUAGAAACACGCUAAUCAUAUUAAAAACACGAAUCCUCCGCUGUAGUACAAUAUUCAGUUCCAGCGAGGCAUCCGCUGACUGCCGAAGCUCUUUUCUGGGUUAAGGGUCCCCAACUUUUUACCCAUGAGCAACAUUUAAUUACAAGAAACAUUGGGGGCAACACAAGUAUGGAAAAAGUCGCUAGGGGUGCCCAAAAAGUGCUGUGGUUGGUCAUUUGGUAGCCUCUUUGUGGACUGUCCGACUAAAGCUUGCUAUUAUAUACAGCUUGCCAGUUCUCUGUGAAGAGUAAUAGUUGGGCAUUAACCUGUUUCCAAAGACUACCUUCUUGAUCCCUAUCACCAGCUGCCGAGCUGUCUACCCUACUGCUAUGUGUAAUUUCUCAGAUAUACCUGUAUACUUUGCAGUCCUUUUGCCCUGCAAACUUUAUAGCAUAAUACUUGUAGUGCACAUGUACCUAUAGUUUGUAUAACUAGUAUAGUGAUAAAAGUACAAAAAUGUAUUCAGUGACAUUGUAUAUGUAUAUUCUAAGAUGUGUUUAGGCACUUUAUCAACUGUAAAAAUCUUUCUGUAUUAACACAGUUCACUUUUUCCAACACAAGAGAGCAGUAUAAAGCAGAGUAUAGGAUUAAAUGUGACUUUAUCCCUCCAUGGUUUAGGGCAGCAUUUGAUUUAACUACAACAGUGGAAGACUCUAUGCCCCCAGGGGAAAAAAAUGAAAACCAUAAACUAAUAGUAAGGAGGGUUUUACAAAAUAUUUGCUUUUUUUUGUGAUUUUAAUUUCCUUCUUGUUUGUAAUUUUUAUAUCUUUUCUGUCAAAAAUAAACGAGUUGCAGUACAAA